AUUGAACGCUGGCGGCAUGCCUUACACAUGCAAGUCGAACGGCAGCACGGGAGCAAUCCUGGUGGCGAGUGGCGAACGGGUGAGUAAUGUAUCGGAACGUGCCCAGUCGUGGGGGAUAACGUAGCGAAAGCUACGCUAAUACCGCAUACGAUCUAUGGAUGAAAGCGGGGGAUCGCAAGACCUCGCGCGAUUGGAGCGGCCGAUAUCAGAUUAGGUAGUUGGUGGGGUAAAGGCUCACCAAGCCGACGAUCUGUAGCUGGUCUGGGAGGACGACCAGCCACACUGGGACUGAGACACGGCCCAGACUCCUACGGGAGGCAGCAGUGGGGAAUUUUGGACAAUGGGCGCAAGCCUGAUCCAGCAAUGCCGCGUGCAGGAUGAAGGCCUUCGGGUUGUAAACUGCUUUUGUACGGAACGAAACGGUGAGCUCUAAUACAGUUUGCUAAUGACGGUACCGUAAGAAUGAGCACCGGCUAACUACGUGCCAGCCGCCGCAGUAA
rnacentral:rRNA from 1 species